rnacentral:rRNA from 1 species
CUGGCUCAGGAUGAACGCUAGCGGCAGGCUUAACACAUGCAAGUCGAGGGGUAUAGGAAGCUUGCUUCCUAGAGACCGGCGCACGGGUGCGUAACGCGUAUGCAAUCUACCUUUUACAGGGGGAUAGCCCAGAGAAAUUUGGAUUAAUACCCCAUGGUAUUAUAGGAUGGCAUCAUCCUAUGAUUAAAGUCACAACGGUAAAAGAUGAGCAUGCGUCCCAUUAGCUAGUUGGUAAGGUAACGGCUUACCAAGGCAACGAUGGGUAGGGGUCCUGAGAGGGAGAUCCCCCACACUGGUACUGAGACACGGACCAGACUCCUACGGGAGGCAGCAGUGAGGAAUAUUGGACAAUGGGCGCAAGCCUGAUCCAGCCAUGCCGCGUGCAGGAUGACGGUCCUAUGGAUUGUAAACUGCUUUUGUACAGGAAGAAACCCUCUUUCGUGAAAGAGAUUGACGG